AGUGAACGCUGGCGGUAGGCCUAACACAUGCGAGUCGAACGGCAGCACAGUAAGAGCUUGCUCUUACGGGUGGCGAGUGGCGGACGGGUGAGGAAUACAUCGGAAUCUACUUUUUCGUGGGGGAUAACGUAGGGAAACUUACGCUAAUACCGCAUACGACCUACGGGUGAAAGCAGGGGAUCUUCGGACCUUGCGCGAUUGAAUGAGCCGAUGUCGGAUUAGCUAGUUGGCGGGGUAAAGGCCCACCAAGGCGACGAUCCGUAGCUGGUCUGAGAGGAUGAUCAGCCACACUGGAACUGAGACACGGUCCAGACUCCUACGGGAGGCAGCAGUGGGGAAUAUUGGACAAUGGGCGCAAGCCUGAUCCAGCCAUACCGCGUGGGUGAAGAAGGCCUUCGGGUUGUAAAGCCCCUUUGUUGGGAAAGAAAAGCAGCAGGUUAAUACCCCGCUGUUCUGACGGUACCCAAAGAAUAAGCACCGGCUAACUUCGUG
rnacentral:rRNA from 1 species